GCGGUUGUGGCUCAGUGGUAGAGUGCUUACCUAGUAUGCAUGAGGACCUGGGUUCAGUCCUCAGCACCACA
rnacentral:tRNA from 1 species